UGGGGAAUUUUGGACAAUGGGGGAAACCCUGAUCCAGCCAUCCCGCGUGUGCGAUGAAGGCCUUCGGGUUGUAAAGCACUUUUGGCAGGAAAGAAACGUCAUGGGUUAAUACCCCGUGAAACUGACGGUACCUGCAGAAUAAGCACCGGCUAACUACGUGCCAGCAGCCGCGGUAAUACGUAGGGUGCAAGCGUUAAUCGGAAUUACUGGGCGUAAAGCGUGCGCAGGCGGUUCGGAAAGAAAGAUGUGAAAUCCCAGAGCUCAACUUUGGAACUGCAUUUUUAUCUACCGGGCUAGAGUGUGUCAGAGGGAGGUGGAAUUCCGCGUGUAGCAGUGAAAUGCGUAGAUAUGAGGAGGAACACCGAUGGCGAAGGCAGCCUCCUGGGAUAACACUGACGCUCAUGCACGAAAGCGUGGGGAGCAAACAGG
rnacentral:rRNA from 1 species